UACGGAGGGUGCAAGCGUUAAUCGGAAUUACUGGGCGUAAAGGGCGCGUAGGUGGCCUGGUAAGUCGGGUGUGAAAGCCCCGGGCUCAACCCGGGAACUGCACUCGAUACUGCUGGGCUAGAGUACAGUAGAGGGGAGCGGAAUUCCCGGUGUAGCGGUGAAAUGCGUAGAUAUCGGGAGGAACAUCAGUGGCGAAGGCGGCUCUCUGGACUGAUACUGACACUGAGGCGCGAAAGCGUGGGGAGCAAACAGG
rnacentral:rRNA from 1 species